ACGCUCGACACCUACGGUAGGCAGCAGUGGGGAAUAUUGCACAAUGGGGGAAACCCUGAUGCAGCGACGCCGCGUGAGCGAAGAAGUAUUUCGGUAUGUAAAGCUCUAUCAGCAGGGAAGAAACUGACGGUACCUGACUAAGAAGCACCGGCUAAAUACGUGCCAGCAGCGCGGUAAUCUGAGCGGGCUGGCAAGGC
rnacentral:rRNA from 1 species